rnacentral:lncRNA from 1 species
UGAAUUAGUCUGACUUGGAAACAAAGCAUUCAUUUGAUUGUCUGACUAAAUUCAGUGAACUAACCACAUUUUGCUAAACUGUAGACUGGCUAUCUACAAGGUUUUAAGGAAGCCUGUCUUGCUGAUUUUUGAGGUAGUGAAAUUCUCUAUUACUCUGACCCAGGCAUCCUGCUAUCAUCUUUACUGGUGGAAAAUUGAGAAAUGCCUCAAUCACAAAACACUGCAGUGUCAGUCUAAUAUAAAUAGUUUGCAAUUUGGAAGUAUUUGUUGAGAAACUGAUUCCUUUGGAAAUAUAACCAUGUAACUGUCUUUGAGAAAAUGGCACAGAAAAAUGUUAGAAUAUGACUGAAAAAUGUGAAACUGUGAUUAAAGAAAAUGCAUAUAAGUCCUUUACCCUUUUCAAAUGUUCAUCUCUUUGUUAUUACCUCGGCUAAUUUUUUAAAACCUUACAAAGAAUCAAGUUACAACAAAGGUACAGAUACAUAAGCAUAUUUUAUAUGUACACCGAAAGAUUCUCUAUUAAAAUAACAAUUUACAAUGAAAAACAUGGAAAAUAACGAGAUUUUAAAAACCAGAAUCGUAACCUAUCUUAAAAGGUUCGGAUAAGCAGAUUGGUUGGCUAAAUGCUCUGCAAGUAGUCUUCAAUUUUUUAUCUAGCUAUUUAUAGAAAGCUGCAGAAACAGCUGAGCUGACUGAAGUGAUGUCACAUUUGCUGAUGGAAUGGUUUGUUCCAGAGCACGCUCAGAGGCUGCAUGAGUCUACUUAAGGUUUGGUACGCAACCCUAAGCAGCGAGAAGGUGUAAACAUGGGCAUUUUUCAGCCCCACCAAUCAAUAUUGCAUUGAUGACUUUCCACUGACCUUUAACCCCAUGAGGAAUACCAAUAGCACCGUACUGAAUCUUCCCGUCUUCGAGGGCUGCCUAGCAAAAGCUACCAAUUUUACAAUCGAUCAAAAGUCAUCUCUGUGAAUAAAGCUUGAGAUUUCAGGCAACAGCAAGCAAUUUUUGAAAGGUCAGGGCUGAGUUUUUAUUUCCUUGACCUGUGCUUUCAACUUAUAUCAUAGUUCUUUAUAACCACUAAAAGUAGUACGAAAAUUUCAGAUUUUUCCCCAUGUAUUUUUAGUAAGCCUUUGGGCAUUUUCACUGUCCCUAAAAGAAUAUGGUUGCAUGGCAACCUUCACAGUUGCUAUGGAGACUCCAUGUGUAAGCAGCUGCUGCAAUCAGCAUUAACUCCAGGCUUGCAGGUUUGUCAUUCCAAUACAUAGGGAGGGGGAAACAAAUAGGACAGCACAUUGCCGUAAAGGGGAAGUCACCUAGAUAAUGUCACUCACAAACAUAUGUUCCACAAUUAUUCUUUCCACUGUUUUAUUGCUGCAAUUAUAGCUAAACUAAGAUUACAAAAUUAUAUGGUUUUAAUUUGCCUCUAUUGACUAUGUUUCACUUCCAUUAAAAUUAAGUCUGAACCCAUUUACGUAGAAAACCGUUGGCUUUCCGGAAAAAAAAUUUUUCUUGCUUUCUCACUUAAUGUCAACAGGAAAAAAAAAUUAAUGCCCAUAGAAAUCUUUGUAUGAAGCAAGCAACUUAGCCAAAAUAUAAACUAACCUAACAGGUAAAGCACAACCCCCAUCCCAAAAUUCCAUCUGUAUUUCUAAUAUUUUCAAUUGUGUCAGAAUACACCACAAAGAUGCCUCAGAUGACACUGAUCUGAGUCUUUAAAAUGUAAGCAGAAAUGCCAGUUAAGCCAUCUUAAGCCUCUAUCCUCAACCCAUCCCAUCAAGCUUAAAUAUUGCAGCAUGUGAUCCCCAAAUCAAAGUCCUUAAAAAGGAAACUCAAGAACAGAGAUGGUACGAAAAUUGUCGUUGAUAUUUCUUUCAAACUAACGGUUAAUCUAACCCUCAUGAGCCUGGAUAUUGCAACAAUCUUGGAUACCACAAUGACUGAUAAAUUUAUUCUGUAAAAGACAGGCACAGGCAUAACAUUAUUAAUUUAGAAAUCAUUUACAAUAUAACAUUAGUCAGCCAGAUUUUUGCAAAUAUAGGUUAAACCUCACCCAAACAAUAAUCCUUUACUACUCUUAUUCUAAUAUUUCAGUGUCUUAUUUGGAGAUAUAAUACUUCAUAGAAAGCUAACAAUCAUCACUAAAAAUCAGUAUUUUACUUAAGGGCAAUGUAACCAUUUGCUUUCUAAUUUAUAGGACAUAAUACUCACUAGCAGACAAGCAAAUAAGUAGUUUUCAUUGUAUUUAAUUAGAUUCAAGUGGCAGCACAGUGAUUUUGCUCUACAAUAUAGAAUGGUCACCUUUUGUAUUUUCAACUUUUAGAUUUUUUUUUAAGAAUCAUGAAUCCACAAAAUAAAAGAUUUAUCAAAUAUACUUCUGCUCUUAUAUAUAAAUUGCUGACAUGGAGCUGUGUUAAAAUGAAGCCCUUUGUAAAACUUUUAAGAUAAAUAUAAGUGGUAUUAACUUUUAAUAAUCAUAUCUAAAACAAUCAU